UUUCCUUCGGGACUGAUUAUUUUGUGACUGAGUGGCGGACGGGUGAGUAACGCGUGGGUAACCUGCCUUGUACAGGGGGAUAACAGUUGGAAACGGCUGCUAAUACCGCAUAAGCGCACAGCAUCGCAUGAUGCAGUGUGAAAAAACUCCGGUGGUAUGGGAUGGGCCCGCGUCUGAUUAGGCAGUUGGCGGGGUAACGGCCCACCAAACCGACGAUCAGUAGCCGGCCUGAGAGGGCGACCGGCCACAUUGGGACUGAGACACGGCCCAAACUCC
rnacentral:rRNA from 1 species